CCUGGAUCAGCCUGCCGCGUGAGUGAAGAAGGCCUUCGGGUUGUAAAGCUCUUUCAGUGGGAAAGAAAAGCUCAGGGCUAAUACCCCUGGGUCUUGACGGUACCCAAAAAAAAAGCACCGGCCAACUCCGUGCCAGCGCCCGCGGUAAUCA
rnacentral:rRNA from 1 species